AGAUGCGAUCAUAACAACACUAAUGCACUGGAUCCCAUCAGAACUCCCCAGGUAAGCGUGCUUGGGCGUGAGUAGUAGUAGGAUGGGUGACCUCCUGGGAAGUCCUCGUGUUGCACCUU